ensembl:lncRNA
CGCCAUCAUCGAGUUAAAAAUGGAUUCAUCAUCGACCCCAUCUGCUGCCUAUCUGGAGCAUUCUACUUGCUGUAGUUUGGUCUGGCUUUGCGAGACUAAUCUGGAGAGACCCCGCUGAUGAUGACCAGUGCUAUGACGACGAGGUUUACUGGGAGGUCCCGGACAGGGACGAAGACAGCCGCUUACAGCCCCAAAACCACCUGAUGACUGCGGUGGGGAUGGAAGAGGCAAGCGGUCAGCGCUGUAAGCAUAGCAGUCCGCCUGACCAAAAUCGUGCAACGCGACUCCACAGUCAAGCUUAAGUUAAACUAUAGGCCAACAUUUUUAUUUUAGGGGGAAAUAUAAGUACAAAUGUCUUAUUUUCCUGCUUUCUAUGCCAAUUUACAUGUAAAGAAAUCUGUAAUCAUGAACCUCAUAAUGGUUCAAUCUACAUUUUGGUGUUCAAUUGUCUUUGGAUGUUUUUAUGUUUUCAAUAUCAGGCAGUGUAGCCAAUGCCCAUUAACUAAUAUGCAUUUUAAUUAUCUUGAAUUGAAUUUUCUAAUGGCAAAUUAAUCCAUUAUUGUGUAUAUUUUACGUUCAUGAACUGCAUUUGUUUAAGGUAUGCUCUCAUUUAAAGUACCUCACUGAAAUUA